GCCUUUAUAGCUCAACGGUAGAGCUUGAUACUGUUAAUAUCAUGAUAGGGGUUCAAUUCCCUUUAAGGGCU
rnacentral:tRNA from 1 species